UACGUAGGGUGCGAGCGUUGUCCGGAAUUAUUGGGCGUAAAGAGCUCGUAGGCGGUGUGUCGCGUCGGUCGUGAAAACUUGGGGCUUAACUCUGAGCUUGCGGUCGAUACGGGCAUCACUUGAGUUCGGCAGGGGAGACUGGAAUUCCUGGUGUAGCGGUCGAAAUGCGCAGAUAUCAGGAGGAACACCGGUGGCGAAGGCGGGUCUCUGGGCCGAGUACUGACGCUGAGGAGC
rnacentral:rRNA from 1 species